rnacentral:rRNA from 1 species
AUACGGAGGACGCGAGCGUUAUCCGGAUUUAUUGGGUUUAAAGGGUGCGCAGGCGGAGAUGCAAGCGUGACGUCAAAUUUCGGGGCUCAACCCCGUCUCGCGUCGCGAACUGCGUCCCUUGGUUGCGGGAAGGGGAGGCGGAACUCGUGGUGUAGCGGUGAAAUGCAUAGAUAUCACGAAGAACUCCGAUCGCGAAGGCAGCCUUCCGGCCCGUCAACGACGCUCAUGCUCGAAGGUGCGGGUAUCAAACAGGAUUAGAUACCCUGGUAGUCCGCACAGUAAACGAUGGACACCCGCGGUUUGGCCUGUAUGGCUGAGCCGCCAAGCGAAAGCGUUAAGUGUCCCACCUGGGGAGUACGCCGGCAACGGUGAAACUCAAAUGAAUUGACGGGG